ensembl:processed_transcript Six3os1 SIX homeobox 3, opposite strand 1
AGCUCUGAGCGCGACCCUACCCGGCUCGGGCCCGCAGCAGCCCCGACUGUCCGAGAGCCUCUCCGCAAGCAAGGCUCUGCGCCGCCCUCUGAGCCCACCUCCUGGCCACAACGCUGCCUGCGCUUCUCCAGCCCAGGCCGGAAGCCCUAUGCUGCCUCCCGAAGCCGUUGGAACUCAAGGUCCCCUUUCACUCCCUUCUUGAGUACCCCUAGCACUUGCUGGGUUGGUGGAGCAGGGAACUCUCGGUUCUCCACUCAGGACUUUCUGGAAGCCCAUCUUCGUAUGCUCACCAGCCCACCCUCCUACGCUGGUCAGAGUGAGAUUGCUAACCUCAAGACCCCAUUCAAUGCCAGCUUUCAACUACUGCUGAAGACCAAUGUAGGUCCUGGAAUAGAAGAACUGCAGAGUAUGCAGACAAAAGCUACCAUGUCCGCUUGGAGUGACACCCAGACAUGCACAGAGAUGUACAGGAAGCCAAGGAGAGUGGGAUCCACCAGAGUACAGUACAAGUACAGAGUACAGUGCAAGAUGCCCAGU